UGAUGAGUCUUGAGUGGCACAGGGUCCCU
rnacentral:piRNA from 1 species